AUAUAUUAUUUAUCCGAAACAUGGUAUGAUAUAUUUAUGAUUGAUGUAUGAUUUCCAUUCUCUGGGAAAAAGUCGUUUUUGCCAUACUUACUGCCCCUGUUUGUCCUUCAGUGAUACAAUAAAGACUGCUUCUUCCACCAUUCUCUGGGAAAAACCCUUUUUUGUUAUGUGACACAAUAAAGACUGCUUCUUCCACCAUUCUCUGGGAAAACCCCUUUUUUGCUAUG